CAGCCUCAGUGUACGGGCGCCUGGGCUCGGUACUGAGACAGAACCCUGUGGAUUAGUCUAGUCUUCGUCUCUCCAGGUAUCCACCUGCCUCACUUGCUGCGUCCAUUGCCCGGAUGGAAGCCAUGUCUCCCCCACAUCUUUGCUUGAGGGUGACAGCUUCUUCAUGGGUCUGUGCCUCUGCAGACAAGUGGCUCUAGCCAGGCGAUGAUGACAACAGCCUGAAGCCUCCGGCCAGCUGUCAGGCAUGGCUGGCCUCGUCCUAGAUGUCCAUUCAGGAGGCACCUUCUCUGGAUAGAUCUAGCGAAAUGAUCCUGGUUCCCAGAGCAUGCACAAGUCCCUCUCCUGUGGGGUCAGGAGCCACCAAGACACCUGCUUUCUACAGAACAUAGCCAUCAGCUAAGCUGCCUGGCCUACCAUCCUUACCACCACAAGACUGCUGGGCAGUGGAGCCUGGAACAGUCCAGAGCUCCGGAUCAGAACUGCAGAGAAUCACUCACUCAGUGCUCAGCUGGCCAGGAGCCUUCUCUACCGCUGUGCUGGCGGGUGGCCACUCUGACAGGUGUUUAGACACCUUCAAGCGGGGAACCCACCCAUCCCAAGACACCCCAUCUGUGGCUGGAAAGCUCAAACUGUAAUAAAAUUCUUUGCUUGAUCAACUGAAAAUUAGCUUUUACAUUUCCUCAGAACCUCCCUCCCUCCUCCUUUCUUCUUUCUUCCCAGCUCUGGAGAGGUGGAGGAUUCCUAGAGCUCACCGGUAGCCAGCCUGGCUGCACCACUGACAUACACAUACCCCAGCUCACUGAGAGAUCCUGCCUCAAAACAACCGUGGAGAGGGACUGAAGAAGACGUCUGAUAGUGUUUCUUCUCUCCCUCCCUGAGCCGUGUGCACAGGACCACACUAGACCUCAGAUGAGCAGAUGCAGCAGGAUGCAGCCCCAGUCAGCCAGAAGGGGGCGUUUUGAACGAGUGAUUUCACUGAUCCAGUUCAUCCCUCGAGCCCAAGCACAAUAAGGCAAUGGAGGAACAAAGACUGGCAGGUCCCAAGCACAGGAGAUGACGCAGCUCACCCAGGGCCAGGUUCUCACUUCCCCAUGUGUGCGAGAGAAAAAAGCCAGGAUCCUGGGCUGGUCAUCCCACUGUGUGGCCUUGGGCCAACCAUGUCCCUUCUCUGAGCUCUCCGUCAAAAGGCAUGUGUCCUCUUAUCGGCAGUCAGGAGGCUCUAACACCUGAGCUGAGUUACAUGGCAGGGCUGUGCACAUGAGGAUCUAACUCCAGCAAGGUCAAGGAAGAAGGAUGAGGAAGAGGAUGGAAGGAAGAGUGAAGGAUGGGAAUUGGUUCCCAGGGUGACCCUGAAGCUGAGCCCUUGGGAACAUCAGCAUUUGCCAGAUGGCGGGAGAGAAGGGCACCGUGGUAGCAGAUGCAAGGCAGGUAGGUGGCGAGGAACAUUGGCACAGCUGAGGAUAAGCCAUGUGACCAUCGAGCGGUGUGCCCACUGGAAGCCUCGAAAGCAGCAAGGCUGGGUCCAGAAAGGCCUGGCAACUGGAUCAGGUGACCUUGAACUUGACCCUGCAGGUGAUGGAGAGCUUUUGUGUGAAGUGUGGGACAGAGAGGGCAGCAGUGGUACUGUCACGUGUGUGUUCUAGAAGAGUCCAUGGCAGUGGCCAUCGGCAAGGAUGUGCACACUGCCAGGGGGCUUUGCACCCAGUCAGGAAGGGUGGGGCCAGGAGGAGCAGGGCCAGAGGAGGGAAGGAGCUGGAUAGAGCUGGAUGGAGCUGGCUUUCUGAAAUACCUCAGGUCUGCGGUGGUGUUUUAUUUCUCUGGUGUGCUGGAGUGGAAGUUUGCCUUUAAUCCUUCUCUGACAAGUUAAGUCAGCCCCUUGUCAUUUAAACGCAGCAGGGCGUGAGUCAGGCAGAGACACUGAAAAUCACACUUUGGGCUUAUUAUAGCUCCAUGUUCCACCAGCUCAGAAGCCCUGCAGCAGCAAAGGCCAGGACUCCCACUUCCAAUGGAGAGACACAUGAAGCUCACCUUGAGGGGUGCCCUGGCUGGGCAGCCUUGCCUCUUCCCUCAGCCCGGGAUCCUGUGAGAUGAGACAAAGCAGAGACUGCCUGCAAGGUGAGAAGGAACCAACACAGUCUCCGAUCUCCACCUGGGAUUAACCUCAGUUUUACAGGAAGGAGCCUGAGGCUCAGAGAGGGGAAGUGGUUGGCCCAAGGCCACACAGCAGGAUACUCUCUGCCAGGUCCUGGCUCUUUUCUCACGGAUGCAGCGGAUAAAUGAGGACACAUACCAGACAAGCUCAGCCAUCACCCUGUUGGCCUUGGAUUCUCCAAGCUGCAAUCUUCUGUCACCAUCCAAUAAGAAAGACCGUUGAUUGUGGAGUCCAUGUGUGGGCCAAUAGAACAUCCUGAUAUUUGUGGUUCAUGCCAGCUGUUGGCUCUCCCUCUUGACAGGUUGGGAGCCAAGAGCUCUUAUCAGGCCCGCGUGGGGCAGGGAAAAGAUCUCAUUGCCAGUAUCGGGAAAUUGAUCUUAAUCCCCAAGAGCAGAAGGAUUUUUUUUUUCUGGUCAAAAAUUCCUCUCCUGGUGCCAGAAAGGGCAGUGAUGAACUGCCAACAUCAAGCUGUCCUUUCUUUCUUUCUUAUCUCCCUCCCCCGGCCAGGAGCAGCCAUGUGCAAACCCGGGCUGAUGGAGCUGGCCUCUGGAUUGAUCCCGGUCUCCGGCAGUGGCUCUUCCCACCCUUGCUGAUCAUGGCACCCGCCCCUCCUCAUCUUGAUCCCUGGAAGGCUCAUGAAGAAGGACUCUCACAGCCUUACAGAUCUCACCACACCCGUGCACAUCUGAGUUUGGACUUCACCAACCCGCACUGCACAUUUCAUGUCGAUAACCAUCCACCCAGACGUGUGAUGCUGGGGCUCCUGUGCUUUGUGUGUGGGGUAAUAAGGAGCCUUUGAGGACCUUCAGUCUCUUGGUCCCACAGAAUUGUACAACACAGGCUAGGGAGAUAACUUAGUCAGCAGAGUGCUUGCUUAGA